rnacentral:rRNA from 1 species
AAAAGGGACAUUUGGGGGCAUACGAACUCGGCAGCGAGAGNUGAAAUUCUAAGACCUGCCGAGGUCGAACUAAAGCGAAAGCAUUUGCCAAGAAUGUUUUCAUUGAUCAAGAACGAAAGUUGGAGGAUCAAAAACGAUCAGAUACCGUUGUAGUUCCAACUUUAAACUAUGCCGACUGUAGGGGCCAGUUCGGUAUAUCCGUACUUAUUGACCUCCCAGGGAAACCAUAGUAGGGUUCUGGGGGGAGUACGGUCGCAAGUCUGAAACUUAAAGGAAUUGACGGAAGGGCACCACCAGGAGUGGAUCCUGCGGCUUAAUUUGACUCAACACGGGGAAACUUACCCGGUCCGGACACCGAUAGGAUUGACAGACUAAUCGCUCUUUCAUGAUACGGUGAUGAGUGGUGCAUGGCCGUUCAUAGUUGGUGGAGCGAUUUGUCUGGUUAAUUCCGUUAACGAACGAGACUAAAACCUUCAUUUAGUUUGCCAAUCAUGUUCUCAUUAUGGUUCGCCAUGAUGUGAACUAGAUUUGAUCAAACUAUUUGAAUGGGAUUAACGCCGUAAUCGAAAGGCGUUUGAAAUUUUUCAAUAACAGGUCUGUGAUGCCCUUAGAUGUCCGGGGCCGCACGCGGGAUACACUGGNGGUUGCAAAGAGUACUUAGGGAGAAAUCCUCGAGUAACCUCACGAACAACCAUCGUGACGGGGACUGAACCUUGUAAUUAUGGUUCACGAACGAGGAAUUUCUAGUAAGCGCUGGUCACAAUCCAGCGCUGAAUAUGUCCCUGCCCUUUGUACACACCGCCCGUCGCUACUACCGAUUGAAUGAC